AGAAAGGCCAGAUAAGGUCCCAGCAAAGUAAGAUGCUAGGAGAGAGAAGAGAGAGAGAGAGAGAAAGAGAGAGAGAAAGAGAACUCCUAUGCUAGCUCACUUCUCAAAUGUUAAAUAUCUGGGACUGAGUCAAGCUGAAGUUGGGAACUUAAUCCAGGUCGAAAGAAAGUAUGACAAUCAAAGCAGAGAUCUUAGAGAGAUACUUGAAGAAUCAGCACUGCUAACUUUGGAGACGGAGGAAGGUCCCACAAGCAAGUGAAUGCUGGCCAUCUCACAAAACUGGAAGAGUCAAGAACCUUUUCACCUAAAGGAAGCACUUCCUGGCUCCUCUUCGGCAUAUCUGAGUCAUCAGCAUUGUUACUCUUGUGCAUUGGGGCCACUAUUAACUAAAACGAGAGUGAGCUGAACACAGGCAGUGCAGUACAGCAACAUCUGACCUGCUAGCCAAGACUGCCACUAAGUGACUAACAGCUGCCUCUGGGAAAGUCUAUGGAAGUCAUCAUUGCACCAUUCCACUAGGCUGGCAUUGGCAAAAUAUCCUUUCCUCUGCCCUUCUACGUUCUCAGCUGGGAUCCCUAUAAUAAAAGACAUAUGAGCAAGAGAAAAGCAUAUCAAUUCAUUUAAUAUAAUUUUUAUAAUGACGGGGUGGCUUCAUAUGGAAAUGACUACUCCAAGCAAAAGUUAGAGUUGACUAUCUUUACAUUGGAUUUGAUGAAGAAGGGAGAGUUGAGGGAAAACGAGACAGGACAACAAAGAAUAAGAGCUAGGAGCCCUACCCUGGGGGACAACUAAGCAAAGUCUGUUCCUUAUGAUUGCUCUGAUGUCAUCUGUCUUUGGAGAUAAGGAUGCCCCUUUCCUCUGGGUAGGAACAGAGCCUUCCAUCACAUGAGAGUCUUAUGACCUGCGUUAGGAGAAGCUCAGAAAAGUCUUCCGGUACUUGGUCUUUCAUCAAAUUGGGAGACAAUGCAAUAUGCUCAUGAAAUCUAAUAAGAAUGUGAUUUUGAUUAUCUACAUGCAGGAGUGAGAAAGACCUGAUCAGGUACCAAACUGAGGACAUCUUUCUUUCAUUCUAGCAAUGCCAGCUUCGCGGGCUCUGUUGAAUCAAGCCAUGUUUUCCAAAGUACUGGGAAUCUUUCAUAUGA